rnacentral:rRNA from 1 species
AUUGAACGCUGGCGGCAUGCUUUACACAUGCAAGUCGAACGGUAACAGGCCGCAAGGUGCUGACGAGUGGCGAACGGGUGAGUAAUGCAUCGGAACGUGCCCAGUCGUGGGGGAUAACGCAGCGAAAGCUGCGCUAAUACCGCAUACGAUCUAUGGAUGAAAGCGGGGGACCGUAAGGCCUCGCGCGAUUUGAGCGGCCGAUGUCAGAUUAGGUAGUUGGUGGGGUAAAGGCUCACCAAGCCAACGAUCUGUAGCUGGUCUGAGAGGACGACCAGCCACACUGGGACUGAGACACGGCCCAGACUCCUACGGGAGGCAGCAGUGGGGAAUUUUGGACAAUGGGCGCAAGCCUGAUCCAGCAAUGCCGCGUGCAGGAAGAAGGCCUUCGGGUUGUAAACUGCUUUUGUACGGAACGAAACGGUCCUGGUUAAUACCUGGGGCUAAUGACGGUACCGUAAGAAUAAGCACCGGCUAACUCUGUGCCAGCAGCCGCGGUAACAC